GACGAACGCUGGCGACGUGCUUAACACAUGCAAGUAGAACGGAAAGGCCCUGCUUUUGUGGGGUGCUCGAGUGGCGAACGGGUGAGUAACACGUGAGUAACCUGCCCUUGACUUUGGGAUAACUUCAGGAAACUGGGGCUAAUACCGGAUAGGAGCUCCUGCUGCAUGGUGGGGGUUGGAAAGUUUCGGCGGUUGGGGAUGGACUCGCGGCUUAUCAGCUUGUUGGUGGGGUAGUGGCUUACCAAGGCUUUGACGGGUAGCCGGCCUGAGAGGGUGACCGGCCACAUUGGGACUGAGAUACGGCCCAGACUCCUACGGGAGGCAGCAGUGGGGAAUAUUGCACAAUGGGCGGAAGCCUGAUGCAGCAACGCCGCGUGCGGGAUGACGGCCUUCGGGUUGUAAACCGCUUUCGCCUGUGACGAAGCGUGAGUGACGGUAAUGGGUAAAGAAGCACCGGCUAACUACGUG
rnacentral:rRNA from 1 species